AAGAGACAGCAGUCGCCACGGUAAUACAGAGGGUGCGAGCGUUAAUCGGAUUUACUGGGCGUAAAGCGUGCGUAGGCGGCUUUUUAAGUCGGAUGUGAAAUCCCUGAGCUUAACUUAGGAAUUGCAUUCGAUACUGGGAAGCUAGAGUAUGGGAGAGGAUGGUAGAAUUCCAGGUGUAGCGGUGAAAUGCGUAGAGAUCUGGAGGAAUACCGAUGGCGAAGGCAGCCAUCUGGCCUAAUACUGACGCUGAGGUACGAAAGCAUGGGGAGCAAACAGGAUUAGAUACCCGUGUAGUCCCUGUCUCUUAUAC
rnacentral:rRNA from 1 species